rnacentral:rRNA from 1 species
UAAGCGGAGGAAAAGAAACUAACAAGGAUUCCCCUAGUAACGGCGAGUGAAGCGGGAAGAGCUCAAAUUUGAAAUCUGGUAGCCUUCGGUUGCCCGAGUUGUAAUCUAGAGAAGUGUUUUCCGUGCCGGCCCAUGUACAAGUCCCUUGGAACAGGGCGUCAUAGAGGGUGAGAAUCCCGUCCUUGACAUGGACCCCCGGUGCUUUGUGAUACACUUUCAACGAGUCGAGUUGUUUGGGAAUGCAGCUCAAAAUGGGUGGUGAAUUCCAUCUAAAGCUAAAUAUUGGCGAGAGACCGAUAGCGAACAAGUACCGUGAGGGAAAGAUGAAAAGCACUUUGGAAAGAGAGUUAAACAGUACGUGAAAUUGUUGAAAGGGAAACGAUUGAAGUCAGUCAUGCUCUUGGGACUUACCUCCCUUGAGUGGGGUCAACAUCAGUUUUGAUCGAUGGAUAAAGGCACUAGGAAGGUAGCACUCUCGGGUGAACUUAUAGCCUAGCGUCAUAUACAUUGAUUGGGACUGAGGAACGCAGCAUGCCUUUUGGCCGGGAUUCGUCCACGUACAUGCUUAGGAUGUUGACAUAAUGGCUUUAAACGACCCGUCUUGAAACACG